GAAUUUUAAAGAUAAACCAAUGCAUCGAAAAUGAUAUAAGUGUAAUGUUGACUCGUGUUUGGUGGGAAAUUUGGAUUAGUUACAGCAACAUCGACGAUCUUCACUUCCGCGUUGAUCGACCGGAGAACGCGAAUAUCAAGGGUAACAACGUUGUCCUCCAACUCUCUGAUCAGUUUGUUAUUGUACUUGCCAAUUGAAGGUUGAAGUGAUUUUCUGAUAGCAACAACUGGAUUAAAGAAAAUUAGUCAAAGCAGAUAAAAUUAAUUUCCAAUAUUACAUCAGUUACGAAAGGGGAAACUAAAACAUACUACAAACAGCUUCAUGCGGAUCAGCCAUCGAGUCUUAGAAG